UACAGAGGGGGCAAGCGUUGUUCGGAAUUACUGGGCGUAAAGGGCGCGUAGGCGGCCUUCUAAGUCGAACGUGUAAUCCCCGGGCUCAACCCGGGAACUGCGUCCGAGACUGGAAGGCUCGAAUCCGGGAGAGGGAUGUGGAAUUCCAGGUGUAGCGGUGAAAUGCGUAGAUAUCUGGAGGAACAUCGGUGGCGAAGGCGGCAUCCUGGACCGGUAUUGACGCUGAGGCGCGAAAGCCAGGGGAGCAAACGGG
rnacentral:rRNA from 1 species